CGAAGAAAGGAAGGGAUCAAACCAAGCAAAGGCAAUAGGAGCGCACGACUCCGUGUGGAAUUUUUACGCUUGUUCAUGGUAAAUCCCGCUCUUGGCGAUGCGAGCUCGGACCGAACACACUACAUAGCCCUUUAUGCGCUUCCGGUUAAAGUCGUCUUUUGUAAAUGGGUCAAAACGUUUUCAUAAUGUAAAUAUUAAAUUUAUGUCUAGGAUGUUUCCUAAGUAAGUUUGGAUUUUAAAUCUUGUAUGGUUGUUACUUUUAUAUCUUUUGAAACAUGUCAUAGAAUGUAUUUUGGAAUGAUUUCAUUAUA
rnacentral:lncRNA from 1 species